GACGAACGCUGGCGGCGUGCUUAACACAUGCAAGUCGAACGGAAAGGCCCUGCUUUUGUGGGGUUCUCGAGUGGCGAGCGGGCGAGUAACACGGGAGUAACCUGCUCUUGACUUUGGGAUGACUUCAGGAAACUGGGGCUAAUACCGGAUAGGAGCUCCUGCUGCAUGGUGGGGGUUGGAAAGUUUCGGCGGUGGGGGAUGGACUCGCGGCUUAUCAGCUUGUUGGUGGGGUAGUGGCUUACCAAGGCUUUGACGGGUAGCCGGCCUGAGAGGGUGACCGGCCACAUUGGGACUGAGAUACGGCCCAGACUCCUACGGGAGGCAGCAGUGGGGAAUAUUGCACAAUGGGCGGAAGCCUGAUGCAGCAACGCCGCGUGCGGGAUGACGGCCUUCGGGUUGUAAACCGCUUUCGCCUGUGACGAAGCGUGAGUGACGGUAAUGGGUAAAGAAGCACCGGCUAACUACGUG
rnacentral:rRNA from 1 species